ensembl:lncRNA
UGUUGCUUGUCCUUGAAUGUUUUGGGAGGAUGAAUGAGCUCAUAGAUAAGGGAAUCCUUCGACUUCAGAGAAUAUGCUGUGUAAUGUUGAGAAUCCCAGAGGGUUGUGAAAAACAUUGAUGGAAGACUCAAUGAUCCAUCCAGUAAUUAGCAUAAUGGGAGGACCUAAUAUCAUUGUAUAACCAUACUGUAUAAAAAUGUGUGUUUAAGGUUUGGAAGUCAGUUGUUCUGCAGACCAACUCAGCUUUUUUUAAUCUUCAUUUAAGUCUAUUUUGGAUUCACAAGUUCCUGAGUUUUUGCAUCUUUUUUGGCCGGACAUUCUUUGGUUGGGUCACACAAACAACACGUGGCCACAUUGAGAGGUAAGCAUGUUCUUACUUUAAUUUAGUGGUUUCUGUGACUUGAAACACCUGGCCUGGCAGUUUGGCACCACAUAAGGCCUUACCAAAUUCAACGAACCUAACUUAUUUGAUUGAGGCAAUGGGGAGCUUUUGAAUCCAAAAAUGUGGGGGUAAAUGGCAUGCUACACAUUUUAGGUAGGACAUAACACAACAAGAUAGGUCAUAUUUAAAUAAGUGUGAGGGUUGCAACCAGUAUAAGUCCUGUGCCCCCAUCACGGUCUGUUAGGGCCAACCGUGAGUGAUGAGGAGGCUGGCAGGAUUCGUGAUACUGGCUUGACGGCCUGAGUGACUGCAUGGACGAAUCCACCGCGCUGAGUCACCCUCAGUAGGAGAAGAAGACUGCUGUGGGACAGGACCAGGCGGCUUUGAAUUUAGCUGUAGUGUGCCCUGCGAGAACCGCCUCAGACAUAAACUUUGGGGGACAGCACGGGUGGGGGCUAAAUGAGUGGUCGCCUCUCAUAGGUGUGUGGGAGUCCGCUGCUGUGUGAUAGUAGAGCGGGAAUGGUUAGGGCCAAGAGUGGGAAAGUAUAGCACUCUCCUGCUAGGAGGAGUAUAGAUGACUAAGUUAAGGGGUGUGUAGGCGCAGAGAGAAUUGUUGAGAGAAGUGUUGAGUUAAGAGGUGUAGAAGUAGAGAAAAUUGUGUUUUAAGAGAAUUGUUGAGUUGUUUGUGAAUGGGAUGAAGGUCAAUAUUCGAGAAGACAGGCUGAGGUCGAACAGGAACUUAGUUCCAAGGAGGUAUAUGAUACGUUGUGUGCACACCCCAUGGAUACCGCUCCAAUGAUGUUGGAUGUCUGAAUGGGUGGAGUUGUAAGAAGACCUGUAUGGUAACGUCCUGUGGACCUGGAAGCAGGCAGGGACCACUAGACUGUGAGUGUGAAUGUGUGUACGAAAGAGAAAGUGUGUGAGGGAAGAGAAUUCCUGUCUGUUUGUAAGGAAGUGUGUGAAAGGAGACUCAUUGGGAGUGAUGGGCAUAGCGGAGAAAUUGCUAGUAGAUGAUAAUGAUAUUUGUCUGAGUGCUAGAAAAGUGACGAGUGGAUAGAUGGGAAGAAAGGUAAAUGAAGAAAAUAGCCAGUUAGACAGAUAUUUUGGGAGAUGUGCCACGAGAAAGUAUUCAACAGUGGACAAAGGAUCUGGUCAAGUUUUGGGUAAUCAUUUGUGUAAACAUAGUUGUCAUCUAAGUGGUUUCAUCCUAUUGUUUGACAACAUUGUAUAGGUGGUCGGUUGGUUAAGUUUGACUGAGUCCAGUUAAAGGAUAGUGAGAGGAGUCAAAUAGAUAAGAUUUUUGGCUGGCAUCCCAGAAAGUAGGGAGUAACUCUAAGCAUCCCAAUCCAGAAAUCAGAGACACACUAGGAGAGAGGUGCAAAAGAUGACAGACACACCAAUUGAGAUUCUGGGAAGUAGAUUCCCAAUAUUAAAAUAAAUCAAAAUAGAGUAAAAUCUGGUUCUAUAUGGCAAUAUUUUAAUGGCAAUUGCUCUGUGUACACGAAGUUGUAGGAAAAUUGAGCUCAUCUAAAUUAUGAAACAUGACAAAGACAUGUCAAAUUACAAUCAAGUGGCCAGUGUUAAAUGUAUUGUCUGUGUGUUUGUACGUCAUUUGUUCGUCAUGUUAUGUAUCUAUGUCGCAAACUAACGCCAUGCUUGCUUAUUUGGGUUAUUUGCUCUAUAUGUCUACAAGAUCAGUGAUUUGAGUUUUACUCUAAAAGGAGAGGAAGAAAGUGAGUGCUACGUUUAUGGAACAUUGGUAAAUUGGUAAUUCCCAAUUUAGGACAUUAAAAAGAGAUAGACAUCAGAUUGGGGUUUAAAAUUGUUGGUUAACACGCAAUUUUAAAUUCAGUAAGUUAAUGCUAAACUCUCCAGUCAAGGUUUUAACUUUGUGUUGUGCGAGAUUCCAUCUUUGUUCCUCACAAAGUAGGAGUCCUGAAUCAUGCAACCUUAAUACACCUUGUACAAUGAAGGGGUACCUCACACAGAUGGCCCAGAUCAUUCCAAGGCCAAACCAAGCCCAGACCUGUGAGAGACUGCCUUGGGUUCAAAAUAAGAAAAUUGGACAGCGACGAUUCCAGCUACACCACACCCAAGGAGAGGUUGGAGGAAUGGAGAGACUGAUGGUUCCAGCUACACCACAUCCAAGGAGAGGUUGGAGGAAUGGAGAGACUGAUGGUUCCAGCUACACCACAGUCAAGGAGAGGUUGGAGGAAUGGAGAGACUGAUGGUUCCAGCUACACCACAGCCAAGGAGAGGGUGGAGGAAUGGAGAGACUGAUGGUUCCAGCUACACCACAGUCAAGGAGAGGUUGGAGGAAUGGAGAGACUGAUGGUUCCAGCUACACCACAGCCAAGGAGAGGGUGGAGGAAUGGAGAGACUGAUGGUUCCAGCUACACCACAGUCAAGGAGAGGGUGGAGGAAUGGAGAGAGGCACGCAGAACAAAGAGGCUUCUACAUCCAUGACUGUAACAGUCAGGAGCCACUUGACUGGACAUGGGGGAAUCACAGAGGAGAGAGGAGUUGUAUUUUAAUUUUUAAUACACUUUUUAUAUCAAUGUUAUGUUUGGGUCUUAGAAAUUGUCUGGCAAAUUCUGAUUAAAUUGGUUAUUUGGUCAUUGCUAUUGUACUUCCAGCUAGUUUUAGUCUUUUGUUUUUUGCCUAUUGUUGUUUUAAAUCUAAAUUGAUAAUUGUUUUGGAUUUGUUGUGAAUAAUUUGUGAUGAUUUUAUACAUCUAAAGCAUUUGUUUAUUCGUCUGACAUUUAAGUAAUGAUCUCACCAUCUCUAAUAGUUGAGUAUUAUUUCAUGAAUGGCAGUAGCCCAGAUGUUAGGGCCCAGGAGAAUAGGUAAACUGAUGUAGUGUUUUUGUCUUCUCUUUUCUCCUAUAAGGAUGGUGUUGCAGACCUCUAAAUCAAUGCAUGGAGACGAUUUGGGAACAAUGAUGUGAAGUGAUACCUCCCGCGACCAUUUCUGGGUUCCAGAACCUGAUUCAUGAACGUUUCAUUGGGGGGGGGGUGGCGGAAGGCCUGACCUUGUUAUGUCUGGAACGCAUCAACGGUGAGACAGAAGAGCAACAGAUCUGAGGCACAGAGUGGCUCACUACAAAAGAAAAUGGGACUGAGUUUCUGUUAAAGUAUUUACAACAUCAAGACCAAAGAAAAGAGGCCUUUGGGUCAAAAUGUCAACAGACAUCACAUAAGGACAAUGUGCCAGGUGAAGGGAGAGGACUAGGGAGUAACUUCCCAGUUAAGUCACACUUUGCCAUGUAUUGGGAUAGAGGUUGUGACAAAUGAGGUCUAAAUUGAGUGGGAAGUCAAAACUAAAAUUUAACUAUUUUGUUAUAGCCCACCAAGCAACUAUAAGAGAAAGAGGUGUUGAAGAAAUAAAAUGAAAUAUUUGGGGAAAAGUAUGGGACAGGAAAAUGACCAGUGAGGAAUUAGAUACUUUCAUAUCGUGGAAACAACCCAGAAAAUGAGUAACUAAUAGGUAGAAUAGGGACACAAGCAGUACCACGGUCCAGACAAUGAAACCAGGGACACGGCAAGUGAGAAGAAGGACAAGGCAAGUGAAAUGAAGGAUAGGAGAGAUGGAAAGCAGGGAAAGAGAAGUGAAAUGCGGGAGAUCAGAAGUGGGUACAAGAAGUACAAUGAUGGUCAGAGAAGUGGAAAAGUAAAUAAAUGGUGAGAAUCUGAGAUUGAUAAGGAUAGGAGUCCAAGAUACCGAAAACCUGUGGAGGAAGGUUUAAAGAUCUUGGGCAGGCAUGAAUGUUUUUAGGCCAGUGGUAUGAUUGUAGGGAGAAAUGUAAAACCAUUAUUAAUUUGGAUAAUAUCGACAUAGUAAUAGGGUUGUCUUACAGUAGCUGUUUCCCUUGCCCUUUUAGGGGAUAUAGGUGUAGGUAUUGCAGGAAAACAAAUAUCCUAGGAAGAUACGUGAACAAAUGUUUCAUGAUGACAUUAUCAUUUCCCAAGACCCUAUGAUUGUGCUUUGUGUCAAAGGGGGGACUGUGAUUUCUGUGCUGAGAAGGACUGAUCUCCAUUGUAAAGAUGGUUUCAAGUUCCUAGGUGGAUGGUAGCCAACCUAUUACAAAGAGAGUACUGCUUGGAGAAUUAGAUGGUUUAUUAUUUUUAUUAUUUUACUUAUAUUCUCAUACUCUCUUUGAUUGAAGUGAUUAUCAUUCAAAUGAUGUAUGUUUUAUUUUAUGCAAUUUAUACUCAUUUUAUAAUCAGUUUAUAUUCCAUUCAUAUGUAAUCGUUUGAAACAACAUAUUUUGCAAGGCUCUGAAAGAAAUCUGCACAUGCUUACACAAACUGACUUGAUUGGUCAGGUUAGAAUUAUUUUACUUCCUCCCAGCCAAACAGGGAGGGAAAGGUUUGGCUUCCAGCCUCUGGAGUGGUGGUUGACAGAGGAGAUUGUUUUAGAUAAUUGGGUUGAUUUCAACUCUCUUAUAGGAACUGAGUUUUCCUCCUCACCUGCCGUUUCCAGGUCUAGAUUGUGGGACUUAGAGGGGGGAUGUGUAGGGAUAUUUUCAUAAAAUGUUGUUCUCUCACAUUAACCCAAUGAAGAGUAGACAGAACGUCUCAUGUGAUCUCUUGCAUAUCAAUUGGGUGUUAAUGAAAUAUUUAACCAAGGCUCAUACUUUUCCCAAACAGUCCAAUUGUCUUUGAUGUUUCCACAUUUAAUUGUUAAGAGUGGCUGAUGAAGAAUACGGUAAACAGUUUGGAUUUCUAUGUGUGUCAAGGUCAACAGCUGUGCUCAGUUUUUCUUCUUACUAUACUGAUGUGACUAAGGAGCAACAGUUUAUUUCAUCUUGAUGUAAGAAUGACCUGUUGCUUGUCCUUGAAUGUCUUGGGAGGAUGAGUGAGCUCAUAGAUAAGGGAAUCCGUCCAUUUCAGAGAAUAUGAUGAGUAGUGGCUGGGGGAGCGAAUCCUAGAGGGUUGUGAAAAACAUUGAUGGAAGAUUCGAGGAAGGAUCCAUCCAGAAAUUAGCAUAAUGGGAUGACCUAAUAUCAUUGUAUAACCAUACUGUAUAAAAAUGUGUGUUUAAGGUUUGGAAGUCAGUUGUUCUGCAGACCAACUCUGCAUUUUUUAAUCUUCAUUAAAGUCUAUUUUGGAUUCACAA